ensembl:snRNA U6 U6 spliceosomal RNA
GUGCUUGCUUUGGCAGCACAUAUAGUAAGAUUGGAACAAUACAGAGAAGAUUAGCAUGGCCCCUUUUGCAAGGAUGAGAUGCAAAUUCAUGAAGCAUUCUAUAUAUUU